rnacentral:misc_RNA from 1 species
GUAAUAUCAUUCAACUAUAAUAUUUAUCUGCCAGGUUUCUAUGUUUUGUUGUAAAACUAUCACCUGCAUCUGCUUACGUAGAAUCAGGGGAAACAGGAGGCCAAGGAUGGGCACGUGCACUACGAUGAGUAUCGGUAUCGUCAGCACUAUGUCUACGAGCCCUGCGGUUUUGUUUUGAAUUUCUGUUGCUAUAAACGAAUGUGGGAUCUUGUAGCUUUU